rnacentral:rRNA from 1 species
UGGGGAAUUUUGGACAAUGGGCGAAAGCCUGAUCCAGCAAUGCCGCGUGUGUGAAGAAGGCCUUCGGGUUGUAAAGCACUUUUGUCCGGAAAGAAAUCCUUGGCUCUAAUACAGUCGGGGGAUGACGGUACCGGAAGAAUAAGCACCGGCUAACUACGUGCCAGCAGCCGCGGUAAUACGUAGGGUGCAAGCGUUAAUCGGAAUUACUGGGCGUAAAGCGUGCGCAGGCGGUUUGCUAAGACCGAUGUGAAAUCCCCGGGCUCAACCUGGGAACUGCAUUGGUGACUGGCAGGCUAGAGUAUGGCAGAGGGGGGUAGAAUUCCACGUGUAGCAGUGAAAUGCGUAGAGAUGUGGAGGAAUACCGAUGGCGAAGGCAGCCCCCUGGGCCAAUACUGACGCUCAUGCACGAAAGCGUGGGGAGCAAACAGGAUUAGAUACCCUGGUAGUCCACGCCCUAAACGAUGUCAACUAGUUGUUGGGGAUUCAUUUCCUUAGUAACGUAGCUAACGCGUGAAGUUGACCGCCUGGGGAGUAUGGUCGCAAGAUUAAAACUCAAAUGAAUUGACGGGGUCAUAGCUGUUUCCU